GGAGUAGUGACCUGUACGCUUCCAUCCCUAAUAGCUACUUUCCCAGGAACAGAAGGGAAAAGAAUGUUUGUACAAUCCUCUUUGUUUCCUUGGAACUAAAGAGAAGGUAUUACUUUUGGAGCAACCCACAUAGGUUAUCUUCAGUCAGAUGAUUUCUGUGUUUUUUCACUGAUGUGUGCCAGCUGAAGUACUAGUUGCUGAUGGAGGCAUCUGCCUGGUACUUAUAUGCGAUGUGGUAUGGAAUUUUGGCAUCUACAUCCCAGAUGGAAUAGCUAAUUUUACAAACACUUGCAUCCCAGAUGGAAUAGCCAAUUUUACAAACACCACCAUGUUCAAUCCAGUGUACAGGCUAUACUCUCAGAUUUCUGCACGCUUUUCAAUAGCCGAGAUAGGGUUCAUACUUGUAUCCAUGUUAUCAAUAUUAAUGAAUGUAUAUGUAAUCCUAUACAUUCGUUCUAUGCGGAAGUCUCCUCCAGAACCAGAGAAUGAUGACUGGCAGGGAAUAUGGAAAGGUUUAGGAAAAAUCAUAGAAGCAUGGGGACCCGCAGUGUCAUGGCAUUUCACUCUUGAACACCUAAGGGACCCUGAGAAAUUAAGUGAGUAUUUGGGUCAGAGAUCUAAGGAGGUAAACCUUAUUUGGGGUUUGGCUUAUGCAUACCGUGCUCUGUAUAAUACUAUUCUGGAGAGAGAGAGUUUCCAAUCUGAGAUUCAAGCCAAAAAAGAAAAUCCCCAAGUCAACUCUGAUCAGUCACAGGAGGCAUCAGUAGCAAUAUCAGUUGCCCCUUUGGAAGGCAAGAAAUGGAAACGGGUCUCCAUGCAUCUAGAAUGAA